GCAGCCGCGGUAAUUCCAGCUCCAAUAGCGUAUAUUAAAGUUGUUGCAGUUAAAAAGCUCGUAGUUGAAUUUUAGGCUUGACCGGGCGGUCCGUCUCUGGCGAGUACUGUCCUGUUGUCAGGUCUAUCCUUCUAGUGAGCCGAUAUGUCCUUUAUUGGGUGUGUCGGGGAACCAGGACCAUUACCUUGAAAAAAUUAGAGUAUUUAAAGCGAGCUUUUGCUUGUGAAUAGAUUAGCAUGGAAUAAUAGAAUAGGACGUUGGUUCUAUUUUGUUGGUCUAGGACCACUGUAAUGAUUAAUAGGGAUAGUUGGG
rnacentral:rRNA from 1 species